rnacentral:lncRNA from 1 species
GGAGGACGAAGCACGCCCGCGACCCCGCGCGCGGACCGGCGGCGGCGUCUAGGUCCGCCAGCGGCGAUUGUUCAUUUUCGAGCUGCGCCGGAGCCUGACCAGCGUCUCGCGCUCCCGCUGGAGACAGGACCGGGAGGAGGCGGGGGAGGGGCGGCGCAGGGCGGGGGAGCGGCUGGUGCCCGCGGCUCCACCUCGCCGCCAGGGCCCCUCGCCGCGCGCCCCGGGAGCGGGAGGGCGCGGGGCGCGGCUCAGGCCCGGGCGGCGGGGCCCGCGGGCGGCGGCGCGCGCGGCUGCACCGAUCCCGGCCGGACCGGGCAGCGGCACUGCGGCGGCGGCUUGCGCUCCGAGCCCCGGCAAGCGCGCGGCCGCCUGGAGAGGGGCGCUGGCGGGCGCGCGCGCGCGCACGCGAGGACCCCGGGGCGCCCUGCCCCUCCCCUGGCCCGGGGUCCGGCCGGCGCGCCCCAGUCUCCGCUGCCAGGGGCUGGGAUUUAAAGGGACAGGAACUGCGUAACGGGAAGGAACCGGGCACCGCGAGCGCACGCCGCGGUGGGGAGCCGGGAGGAGGCGCGGGCGCCGCAGGCAAUCGAGGGCCGCGCGGUCCCCACCCCGCUACCUCCGGGGACACCCGCACCGCGGCCCGUGCGGGCCACGACUUGACUGAGAGGCUCCUGCCAACCACAGUCAUGGCCGCCAUUGGAGCUCAAGUCUCUGCCUCUGAGUCCUGCAGUCAGCCUCUUGCCAGCUUUUAUUUCUGUGCUCUCUGUGCCUCGCUUUCUCUCCUGCAGUCUUCUCUCCUCAUGAUGAAGAUGUAGAACUCUCAGCUCCUCCUAUACCACGCCUGCCUGGACGCUGCCAUGCUUCCUGUCAUGAUGAUAAUGGACUGAACCUUUGAACCUGUAAGCCAGCCCCAAUUAAAUGUUGCCCUUUAUAUGAGUUGCCUUGGUCAUGGUGUCUCUGCACAGCAGUAAAACCCUAUGACACCCCAUUUUGCCUGAUUUCCUCUAAGGACAUUGAGGUCAGGCUACACACUCAGUCUUUGGGGUGGGUAUACAAUUCCUUUAAAAUUGGAAAAUUAAGUUUAUGUAACUGACUGAAGUUAGCAAUUUACAUUUGCUGUCAGUUGUAAUCCUAGAACAACUUUAUGGAGCAGGUAUGAUACUGUUGUUGUUUUCCCCUUUACAGAUGAGGGAUCUUGAGUCUUAGACAGGUUGAGUCAUUGGCCCAAGGUAGAUAGGAGAAGAUGGGGGACAUCACAGCACCUUCCGUCUCAUGCGUCCACUCCCUGGGAAAGGUGAGCAUUGCCCAUGGCCAAGUGCAUAUUUGAAUACUUAGUGAAUCGUUAUGUGCUGACUGCCAAUGGAAGGACCGCCCAGGUUGCCCAGGUUAGAGAAUUGCAUCUUAUCUUCAGGAUUCCAAGCCCUGUACAAACCUACUUUUGUAACCUACUUUCUGUUCCUCUCAUACAAAACCAUGGACCUGAAUUAGUGAUCUUUGCCUUUCCCUGUCAUUUAACAACCCGUGCUGGUUAGUUUCUUCUUGCUCGCUUCUGAACUUCACAUGAGGGGAUCAUGUCGGACCCUUCCUUUCUGCCCUGCACUGUGCUUAUGAUUCGUCUGCACAGCUGCGCCUCUUGUCUCAAAUAAACAUUUGUUUCUACUUGUCUCCAA